CCUACGGGAUGCACCAGUGGGGAAUAUUGCACAAUGGGCGCAAGCCUGAUGCAGCCAUGCCGCGUGUGUGAAGAAGGCCUUCGGGUUGUAAAGCACUUUCAGCGGGGAGGAAGGCGUUAAGGUUAAUAACCUUGGCGAUUGACGUUACCCGCAGAAGAAGCACCGGCUAACUCCGUGCCAGCAGCCGCGGUAAUACGGAGGGUGCAAGCGUUAAUCGGAAUUACUGGGCGUAAAGCGCACGCAGGCGGUCUGUCAAGUCGGAUGUGAAAUCCCCGGGCUCAACCUGGGAACUGCAUUCGAAACUGGCAGGCUAGAGUCUUGUAGAGGGGGGUAGAAUUUCAGGUGUAGUGGUGAAAUGCGUAGAGAUCUGAAGGAAUACCAGUGGCGAAGGCGGCCCCCUGGACAAAGACUGACGCUCAGAUGCGAAAGCGUGGGGAGCAAACAGGAUUAGAUACCCGGGUAGUC
rnacentral:rRNA from 1 species